CUGGCACAAUACUGACGCUCAGGUGCGAAAGCGUGGGGAGCAAAUAGGAUUAGAUACCCUGGUAGUCCACGCCGUAAACGAUGUCUACUAGCUGUUCGUGGUCUUGUACUGUGAGUAGCGCAGCUAACGCACUAAGUAGACCGCCUGGGGAGUACGGUCGCAAGAUUAAAACUCAAAUGAAUUGACGGGGGCCCGCACAAGCGGUGGAGCAUGUGGUUUAAUUCGACGCAACGCGAAGAACCUUACCUACUCUUGACAUCUAGCGAAGAUUGCAGAGAUGCAGUUGUGCCUUCGGGAACGCUAAGACAGGUGCUGCAUGGCUGUCGUCAGCUCGUGUUGUGAAAUGUUGGGUUAAGUCCCGCAACGAGCGCAACCCUUAUCCUUAGUUGCCAGCACGUAAUGGUGGGAACUCUAGGGAGACUGCCGGUGAUAAACCGGAGGAAGGUGGGGACGACGUCAAGUCAUCAUGGCCCUUACGAGUAGGGCUACACACGUGCUACAAUGGUACGUACAGAGGGAGGGCAAGCUGGCGACAGUGAGCCGGAUCUCUUAAAGCGUAUCGUAGUCCGGAUCGCCAGUCUGCAACUCGACUGCGUGAAGUCCGGAAUCGCUAAGUAAUUCGCAAAUCAGAAUGUUGCGGGUGAAUACGGUUCCCGGGCCUUUGUACACA
rnacentral:rRNA from 1 species